rnacentral:lncRNA from 10 species
GUUCAGACACCCAGAGCUUUCUCUGGUGGCCACCAUGGGCACCAAGCUCAGGGUCCUUCCCCAGCAUAGCUGUUUGGCCUUGGGCAAAUCACCACGCCCCUCCAAAUCCCCCACCUGUAAAGCAGGAUUAAAAAUGUGUAUCUCAGAGCAUCACCCACUCAUCAGAUGCGUAGUAAGCUCCUACUUUGUGCUUCAUUCUAGGGAUGAAGCCUGCCCAGGCUGUGGUGGGCUCUGGCCAGCAUCCCCCUGGCUGGUGGGCCAGGGAGUGAGAGGGGCCGGGAGGAGAGGAUGCUCGUAGACAGAGGCACAAAGCAUGUCCAGAGGUGGCUGCUAGGAGAUUUCCCAGCACUAGGGCUGUGACUCAGGCUGAAGCCUGAGCCCAGGCACUUCCUGGCUGGUGACUCAGUUUCCCCAAUUCUACAGCGGCAUCACACAACAUCUGCUUCUCAGCAUCGAAGAGGCGUUGAGGCAUGGCCGGUAUGUGUCUGUGGGGUCCUUCAAAAUCUUAUUUAUCAAGCAGUUAGAGUGGGCUCAGGACUUUGUGUAUGUGUUUGCUCUCUCAGGUGAGCCUGAAAAGAUCAGGACUGCGACUCCCAUUUUACAGAGGGAUAACCUGAGGCUCAGUGAGGUGAAGGCAGUUCAAGAUCCUUGACAGAGGCUCUGGAUCACUGCGCUAGAAAGUGGUGGGGUGGGGAAAGACCGCUGGGCUUUCUGACUUCAGCAACACGUUCUCCAGUAACCAGACUUCCGAACAGUGGCAGACAGGGCCCUCUGCCUGGCAAGCACACACCACAGGACCUGUCCCACAGAGGGCCUCCCAGCCCGCUCUGCCAACCUCACCCACAGGCCCCCAAACUUGAGAGGGUUGACAUAGGCCAUGGAGACCUGUGCGAAUGUCUGCCUUCCCUACUCCAGUCGACCCCCUGCAUCACCCAGAGCACCAGGCCAGGGCCUGGAGUCACGCUCUCCUCUGCCCAGCACUGCCAGGAAGGCAGAAGGUGAGACACAGGAGAGAAUGCAUGGCGAGAGUGGGCAUUUAUUUGGCACGUCCUAGGUGGGCUGGGCUGCUCGAUGAGAUUUUAGGUAUAUUAUCACCAUCAGGAAGAUUCUAGAGGUAAUGAAACUGACAUCCAAGAGGGGAGGUGACCUCUCCAGGGUCUCCACCCUGUGCGCCUCAGUUCCCCCAACUGUGACAUUGGAUGAAGGAGCUCAUGCUCAGGGAGGCUGGGAGGGGUCCUGAGGAGGGCUCAGAGCAAGGCCUUGGGACAGCAUAGUCCCUGCAAGGGAGUGACCGCUAGGGGCCUUCCUGGGAGCCUGCUGUGCCCUCAGCCCCAGCCCUGCCCACCCUCCCUUUCCCUCUCUGCCUUUCUCCAGAGCACGGCUCAGCCCUUUGGGGCUCUGCACUUUGGGGCCAGAGAGACCUGAGUUAGAAUCCAGACCUGCCACUCACUGGUUAUGCGACCUGGGCUGAGCGGUUCUUUUUCUCUGAGUCUCAGUUUCCUCAUCUGUCUGCGUAAAUAAAUGAGGGUAAUAACCAGCCGCAUUUCAAGGGGUCUGGAGGUUAGGACAUCAUAUCUUUCAAGUACCUGGUACGCUGUCUGACGCAGAGUAACCAUUUAAUAAAGCGGAG